CUCACAAUGGCUGGGAAGGGGGAGCAGCAUUCAGGUACUCCAACAAGAACCUGUGCCCACCUGGCUUCAAGACUCCCAAUUUAGCUCCACCUUUUAAAGGUACAGCACCUCCCAACUGCACUGUGACUAGACCGGAGGACCAGAAUCUGAAGCGCAGGACCUGAUGUCUAUGAAUAGCGGGUCUCACACUGUGGUGCAGGUGGGCCUUGAACUCCCUGUGCAACCCAGGCUGGCCUUGAACUUGUGGCAACCCUCCUGCUCCAGCCUCCCGAGUGUUAGGACUACAGAGUUUGGCACUGCUGGGAAACUGCUGUGACCGUGGCUUGAUCCUGAUGCUGCUGUCCUCCGAGCGCCCGGACGGAGUUCUGAGUAGAAGGUGGUGGCGAAGCAGAAGAGGUAAAGUAGGUGCAGAGGAGCCAAGGAU